UUGCACGAGAAAAAAGAGACCAAAUUUAUUUUGUAGUAAUUCGAAAGCUUCUUUUCUCAGUUUUGAUGGCUGGGUGAAGCCAACGAUAUCUCCGUAUUUCUUGCCAAAAGAUUCACAAUUCUAUAUUUCGCUUAGCUGUUUUAUGUUUUCUUCAUUCCAUUCCACCCAUGUGUUGAGUUCUCUUCGUUACAAUUCACCUGUCGGAGAAGGUGAAGGUGCUUUAAAUCUGAAAGUCCCAAUUUUUUCUUUAGCUCCGAUUCAGCUGGUAUCUACGCCAAUCCUGCUCAUUCAGUGGCUUAUGGGCAUUGCCCGUGUUCUUAGCAAGUGAUCUAGCUGACCCUUUGACUGAAUCUUGUAGAUCUGAACCCUUCAUGUCCGUCGGCGCCGGUGAUGUCUGAAGCUAUAAAGUCGAUUGCUGUUUCUAACUGCACUGGAUCAGUAAAGAAAAAGCAUUCGCAUUGGCCCUUGGUGAAACAGUUGCUUAUUCCAUUUAUCAUCAUCAUAUGCACUGCCAACGCUGAUUUCACUGACAACCAAACCCAAACGGGGGCACAAAUUUUAUCUCCACCCACUAAUGAAAUCCCUGAUCUACCCCUGCCAGUCAGUCUUCCAUUGUUCCAGAAACAACAUCAACACAGGAGACGUCUUUCGCCCCUUGGUGCACCAAAGCUUGUGCUAUCACCAGCUCAGCCACCUAACUAUGGAGCAUUCAUAGCUUCAACUCAGCCUCCUUCAACUUCAAUCUCAAAACCUUCAAUCAGGAAAAGUGAAACACUACCUCCUGCCACCAUGCUUACACCUCCACGCUUAGCAGAUAUUGCUCCUGCUCAGUCUCAAUCUGGUGCUGGUACAUUACCUACUGGCUUAACCCAGCCACCAUUGUCUCCUCAUUCCUCCAAUUGUUGUGGACCUGAAACUGUGCUGAAACGGGACAUGGAGGGAUGCCACUGUGUGUAUCCGAUAAAACUUGACAUUCUCCUGUUGAAUGUGUCAUCUAACCCGAAUUGGAAUCUAUUUCUUCAGCAGUUUGCUACUCAACUUGGGCUCAGGGUUUCUCAGAUCGAGCUAAUCAACUUUUAUUUGCUGAGCUUAUCAAGACUUAACAUUUCAAUGGACAUAACUCCACAUACUGGAAUCAGUUUUAAUUCCACAGAAGCUUCUGAAAUAAACUCUUCACUUUCUACACACAAGGUUCAUCUAGACCCCAAGCUUGUGGGUGGUUACCAGCUGCUCAACUUAACCUAUUUCAAGCCUCUUGCUCCUGCUCCAGCACCUCACAUUGCUACAUCACCCACAAAGUCGCCUCCUUCAUUGCCUUCCACUCCAACAUCAGCCAAUAAUUCUUCUUCUGGUCGUGGAAAGCACCUGAGCUUGAUGCUUCUUGUUGGCAUUGCUGCUGGAAUCCUUUCUGUUGCUGUAAUAUCUGUGCUUAUACUUUGUUCAUGUGCUUCACGUAGACGAAAACCAGAAGCAUCACCAAAAGAAACUGCAGCAGCAGCAGCUAAUAAGCCAAGGGAAGGAGGAUCUUUCCCGCAUCCUACGAGUACAAGAUUUCUUGCAUAUGAAGAACUAAAAGAAGCGACUAAUAACUUUGAAGAUUCAAGUAUACUUGGUGAGGGUGGUUUUGGAAGAGUUUUUAAAGGCGUGUUAAGUGAUGGGACACAGGUGGCAAUAAAGAGGCUUUCUAGUGGAGGGCAACAAGGGGAUAAGGAAUUUUUGGUAGAAGUUGAGAUGCUCAGUAGGCUGCAUCAUCGUAACCUUGUCAAACUUGUUGGUUACCACAGCAACCGUGAUUCUUCUGAAAAUCUUCUUUGCUAUGAACUUGUUCCAAAUGGAAGUUUGGAGGCUUGGCUCCAUGGCCCACUAGGGUUGAACUGUCCCUUGGAUUGGGAUACUCGGAUGAAGAUUGCACUUGAUGCUGCAAGGGGACUGGCAUAUCUUCAUGAGGAUUCACAGCCUUGUGUGAUCCACAGAGAUUUCAAGGCUUCUAAUAUUUUACUGGAGAACAACUUCCAUGCUAAAGUUGCAGACUUUGGGCUAGCUAAACAGGCCCCAGAGGGCAGAGCAACUUAUUUGUCUACUCGUGUUAUGGGCACAUUUGGGUAUGUGGCUCCUGAAUAUGCCAUGACUGGACAUCUGCUGGUCAAGAGUGACGUGUACAGCUAUGGGGUGGUCCUGCUUGAGUUGUUAACAGGAAGGAAGCCUGUGGAGAUGAGCCAACCAUCCGGACAGGAGAACCUGGUCUCUUGGGCUCGGCCAAUUCUAAGAGAUAAGGAGCGAUUGGAAGAAGUUGCAGAUCCGAAGCUUGGGGGAAAGUACCCGAUUGAAGAUCUGGCUAGGGUUUGUACGAUUGCAGCAGCAUGUGUGGCCCCGGAAGCAAACCAACGCCCCACCAUGGGGGAAGUUGUACAGUCGCUGAAAAUGGUGCAGCGUGUCACGGAGUAUCAGGACGUGGGACCCGCGGCCACUGCCACUGCCACUCAGAAGCAAUCAUCCACUACAUUUGAAUCAGACGGGACGUCUUCUAUAUUCUCCUCCGGUCCUUACUCUGGUCUAAGUGCCUUUGAUCAUGAUAACAUAUCCAGAACAGCCCUCUUUUCGGAAGACCUUCAUGAAGGAAGAUGAUUUUCGUCAAUUUGGCUUAAUUGCUUGCUGAAGCUUUCUCCUUGCCUCCUGAGAAAGAUUUGUUUCUGUAUAAUGGAAACAGGGAACAGGCUCACAGCCAGUUAGCAAGCAGAAGCUCUCAAUACAAAUAUUCAUUGAUGUGUGUAAUGUUUGAACCAACAGAAAAGAAUAAAAACAAAUAGUCACUGCGAGCUUCAAAACUUUCGCACAGAAAUAAGGGUGUUUAAGCAUUCUUAUUAAUUUUAAGGAAUUUGGUAUUGUUCUUUGUAUAUCAUAUGCAAUAAGGGUGUUUAAGCAUUCUCAAUCUCAACUUUGGCACUCAUUUUGCCCAUGUUCAUCAAGGUGGAUGUUGGGUUUCUUAAAGAAAGACUUGUCUGGGAGAUGUAAUUGUAAUUUAUUUUAGCCUUUGAUUUGGUCGGUUUUGCCCUUGAGUGUACAUCAAUGAUUUUUAUUUGUUUUUUAACCUUAAUGUCAACGAUUGUGCCUUUGUUGAUGCAGCCCCUGGUCAUCAAGCUGAAUAGUAUCCGUUCAGUUUUGAACAAAUGUAUUGUGGACUCUGGUUUUAUAUAAGUUCAAAGUUUUACAUUA